rnacentral:rRNA from 1 species
GACGAACGCUGGCGGCGUGCUUAACACAUGCAAGUCGAACGGAAAGGCCCUGCUUUUGUGGGGUGCUCGAGUGGCGAACGGGUGAGUAACACGUGAGUAACCUGCCCUUGACUUUGGGAUAACUUCAGGAAACUGGGGCUAAUACCGGAUAGGAGCUCCUGCUGCAUGGUGGAGGUUGGAAAGUUUCGGCGGUUGGGGAUGGACUCGCGGCUUAUCAGCUUGUUGGUGGGGUAGUGGCUUACCAAGGCUUUGACGGGUAGCCGGCCUGAGAGGGUGACCGGCCACAUUGGGACUGAGAUACGGCCCAGACGCCUACGGGAGGCAGCAGUGGGGAAUAUUGCACAAUGGGCGGAAGCCUGAUGCAGCAACGCCGCGUGCGGGAUGACGGCCUUCGGGUUGUAAACCGCUUUCGCCUGUGACGAAGCGUGAGUGACGGUAAUGGGUAAAGAAGCACCGGCUAACUACGUG